rnacentral:tRNA from 1 species
GCCCCUGUGACGCAAUUGGCAGACGUGUCUGGCUUAACCCGGAUUGUUGCGAGUUCGACUCUCGCCGGGGGUA